AAUGAGUUUUAUACAAGUCUUCUAAAUUUGUUUUAGGAUUAUCCUGCUCAUUU
rnacentral:tRNA from 1 species